rnacentral:lncRNA from 1 species
CUAAUAUAUUGUGAACACAAUAGACAGUGUGGGCUCUGUAAGAUGAAUGUUUUUCUGCAUGCAAGCUGCAACUAAAAGGGCUAUUUUUCCCUUUCAUUAAUCUAGAAUAAAUAAUGGUUAUAAUAUUACAUAACUCUUGCCUUAUCUCUGGCAGUUUCUUCGUGCUGAAAUAGGAGAUUGCUGCAGUAUGCAGCACAGCUUCUCAGUGUGCUCUGUAUGAGAGACAGAAAGGGAGUCAUUCAUGCUGGAAAAUAUCUGGCAAAAUUUCAAAGUUGCUUCCCCUUUAAUAAUUCUUAAACAUGGCUAUGAUGUGUUCCUGAAAUUUUAAAUACAGUUAGAUGUACAUUUCUGUUCACUGUUAGUGAAUUAUCCUCCCACCCCACCCCCCUCCCCCCCCCCCCCCCCCCCCCCCCCCCCCCCCCCCGUAUAGCUUCCGGUGGUUCAAGACUAGUGUGAUUCUAAACGGAAGUACAGCAAAAUCUAGUUAUCAUUUCUGGAAUCUACAAAAUCCUUAGGCUGAGCAGACUUUUGUGACACAUGACUUAUGAAGCGCAAUGCAAUACACAGAACAGGAGCAACUUACCUCUGAUAGACCUGACAUGACAGGCAAGAGAGAGAAGUUUGAGCAGAAGUUUGAGCAGCCAACAGCCACUUCCAUUUUUCUAGGACCCUCCCUAGCAAAGCAAUGUGGAGAUAAGCAGUGUAUUUUGUCAUUGAUUCCAGAGUAUCUUCUGGUUUUGAAACUGAAGAUAAGCCUUCAAAGUUGAGUUUCCUAUUGCAAAUGGACUUUAUGCUCAGCAACCACUGGGUUACAUUUUCUUUGCCUCACCCUUCAAGGCUUGUCACACCUGAAUUGUGGAAUUAUGCAGGCCAGCUGGCAGCCCAGUCCAACACAAUGUGUGUGCCAUGCAAAGUGUUUGUUGUAACAAACCUCUGAGGUUUUGAAGGAUCCUCUUCAAGGAAUGAAGAACUGCAAAUCUUCAUAUCCCUGCCUUCCUCCAAGGAACACCCUGCUCCUUCCCUAAGAGUAGGUGAAGUGUCUCAGGUCAGGGAAGCAGUGGAAGCAUUGCAGCAAAACUGCUCAUCACCCACCGCCACUUCCUUCAGCUCUCAAAAGUGCUGCUGACUUCUCCUGAGAUGCCUGGCUGUAACAGCUGAAGGCGUAUCUCAGCCCAAGGCAGCAGCACCUCUAUGACAACAGGUAGCUUUUAGCUCCAGAUACAGCUUCUUCAGUGUUUGGGAAAGUAAAGCAGGAACUUAAUAAGGGAGCUCACAAAUGGCAUCUUUUUGUGACGGUCCAAGCCAAAAUUCUGUCUAGCAAAGCCACUGAUGUCUUUAUGUGCUUAAUAAAGUCUGUUUUAGAUCCAGUUUCUGUAACUCAAACCAUCUCCAAUUAAUCUAAACAAAUAAUCCCAGGCACAGAUCUAACUAGCUGAUUUCUGCUAUUCUUCAACACUAAUGUUCAGACACACUACUGAGAGUGAUGGGUCAACAGGAACAACAGGAAGCAACUGUGCUUUAAAAUUCCUUCUCCUGAUACCACAGGGACAAUAUAAUUUUGUUCCUCCAAAAAAAAAAAAAAAAAAAAAAAAAGAAAAUUUGUAUAUAUUAAUUCUACAGAAAUGUUCUUGUGCCUACAUAAAACCUGG